CUGUCCCAGCAAGCCACCAGAUGUCACUGGUCCUCCACAGAGCUCUUGCCUUCGCUCGGGCUUCUGCUUGGAGCUGGCAGUGCCUGUGCAGACUGAAACCGGAGCUGUCUCUGCUGAGGUAUUUGUUGGUUUGUAGUUUCGGUUGGUAACGAUGAGCUGUGGAGCCCUGUCACCUUUUUUUUUUUUUUUUUUAAAGUUUUGCAAUGUUCUAUCUGGCAUACAGUUUCCUUUGUUUGUUACAGGAUUAAAAAUGUAAUUUCUACGUUCUGGCCACAAACACAGUGUUUUAUUAUGAGAUUGUACUCCCUAAGAAUCAUGCUGUCAACACUAAAUAAAUAGCUCUUCAGUGCUUUGCUGUCAGAUCACAGCACCUUCCUUCUGAAAAACCCUCCUGUGUCUGUCGUGGCUUUAUUGUAGAGGAACUGUGGGGUUUGAAGGGGGGGCUGGAGAUGUGUGAAGACACCUUGUGGGUGCAUUUCAUACUGUGUAAGGGGUAUAGUCUGCAGAACUUGGCUUUCUGGGAAUCCACACGUGAAUGACCGAUGUGCUGUAAAAUGUUGCAGUAUGGAGUUUAAGGUUUGUUUUUCCUAGUUCUUUUUUUACUGCGUUUGUAGUUGAGCUCUUGCAUGUAGGUUGGUGUUUGAUGUGAUCAAUAGCAAAAGCAAAUCACUAACAGGCUUGGUUCAUCAGAUUGUUGGUAAACACUUGAUUUUUGAAAGCUUGGUUCUGGUACUGAAGAACUCUCAUAUAUUCUGCCCUUCCUUUAUGUUUGCUUUUCCCCAGCCUCUCAAAAUAACAAAUCUUUUUGCCUUGUCUCAUACUGAACGCUCGGAAAAAUGCCAGAUGGGUUGAAUAACCCUAAAAGAUGGGAUAUAACAGUUGAGAAAAUUGUAGUAUAACAUAUGGUUCCUAAUUGUUUUUCACUGUGGAUUGAAUGGGUGAAGUGUUUUCUGUUCUUAGCGUUGUGGAUUAAUCUUUAUUGUGUGAUUCCUUUGCCCAUGCAGAUCUGCCAAGCCUGUUUGUGUCUUUAAGAGCUUCAUAUUAUUACUUUCCCUGUUUGUUCACCAUACUUUGUAAACUUGGUUUUGGUGGAUUUUUUCUGUAGCUAAAUACACAACUGGAAAAAAAAAAUAAACUCGGUAAGACAAAUAGGAAUUUGGAGUAUUGAGCUGAUGGAGAGCGGGCAUCAAGACUCUUCAUUGAUUUAGUCCUUAUUCUUAUUUAUGUUUGUUUUUUAAAUCUAGUGGCAAAGAGAUGAAAUCCACAGUGGCUCCACAAAGGUGUUCUCACUGUCGCUUGUUUUUUCUGCCUGGAAAAUUUAUGCCAGAAUUGAGUGCAGGUGACAGAGGAUGACACCAAGAAAGUAUUUUGCAUCCGUGAUUCCUGCAUCCCUGAGCCCUGUUGGGGUUAGCACAGGAGUUUGAAGACACUGCCCAAUUCCUCAGCAUUUCUAAUUGCGAGGGUUGUCCUUCCAGAUGCGGAUGGUGAGACAAGUCGCCAUGGCCAACCAGCCCAGGUAGGGCACCAUCAGCAGCGCGGCCACCUUGUUAAUGGGGUACCAGGAGCACAUCGUGCCUAUGGCCAGGCCGUCCAAGCACAGGAUGUCAAUCAGCGCCUGGAGCAGAGAGGAGACAAUGACCGUGGUGCUCAGAAUGACAAAAUUCAGAUGGAAAUAUGAAUCCCGCUCUGUGUCUCCAUCCCCCCUGGCCCUCGGCACCUGAGUUUUGAAAAUAGAGAUGCCGGGUCAGCUGCUGGCAUAAAUCUGCAAGGUUCCUCGGAAGCCAGCGGAGCUUCUCUGAUUUACAUCGGCAAUAAAGUCGUCCUGGUUUGUCUGUCGCUGAUGAGAGCGCGACGGUGCUCACCCGGCUGCCACCAAGGACACGCCGGUGGCCGGGGAGGAACCUUCAUGGCCAUCACCAUCCUCUGAGCCCCUCAAACCUGCCAGCCUCGCCACUGCAGAAUGGAACCUUUCAUCUUCCAGUAUGAAAAGCCACUGAAGAAAAAAAUACAAAUAAACCCCUAGUUUUAUUUCUAAUGAACAAAAAGCUUGUUUUUAAAUUUUCAGUUAUGUUGAAAUAAAAGUGCCAGAUAAUAUGAAA